rnacentral:rRNA from 1 species
UACGUAGGGGGCGAGCGUUGUCCGGAUUUAUUGGGCGUAAAAGGCUUGUAGGUGGCCACGUCAAGUCGGAUGUGAAAUCUCCCGGCUCAACUGGGAGGGGUCAUUCGAUACUGGCGGGCUCGAGGCCGGUAGGGGGAAGCGGAAUUCCCGGUGUAGUGGUGGAAUGCGUAGAUAUCGGGAGGAACACCAGUGGCGAAGGCGGCUUCCUGGACCGGUUCUGACACUGAGGAGCGAAAGCGUGGGGAGCGAGCCGG